rnacentral:rRNA from 1 species
GAUGAACGCCGGCGGCGUGCCUAAUACAUGCAAGUCGAGCGAACAGACGAGGAGCUUGCUCCUCUGACGUUAGCGGCGGACGGGUGAGUAACACGUGGAUAACCUACCUAUAAGACUGGGAUAACUUCGGGAAACCGGAGCUAAUACCGGAUAAUAUAUUGAACCGCAUGGUUCAAUAGUGAAAGACGGUUUUGCUGUCACUUAUAGAUGGAUCCGCGCCGCAUUAGCUAGUUGGUAAGGUAACGGCUUACCAAGGCAACGAUGCGUAGCCGACCUGAGAGGGUGAUCGGCCACACUGGAACUGAGACACGGUCCAGACUCCUACGGGAGGCAGCAGUAGGGAAUCUUCCGCAAUGGGCGAAAGCUUGACGGAGCAACGCCGCGUGAGUGAUGAAGGUCUUCGGAUCGUAAAACUCUGUUAUUAGGGAAGAACAAAUGUGUAAGUAACUAUGCACGUCUUGACGGUACCUAAUCAGAAAGCCACGGCUAACUACGUG